GACGAACGCUGGCGGCGUGCUUAACACAUGCAAGUCGAACGGUGAAGGGGUCUGCUUUUGUGGGCCCUGGAUGAGUGGCGAACGGGUGAGUAACACGUGAGUAACCUGCCCCCUUCUUCUGGAUAACCGCAUGAAAGUGUGGCUAAUACGGGAUAUUCUGGGUCUGUCGCAUGAUGGGUCUGGGAAAGAUUGCGCCUUUGGGUGUUUUUGGUGGGGGAUGGGCUCGCGGCCUAUCAGCUUGUUGGUGGGGUGAUGGCCUACCAAGGCGGUGACGGGUAGCCGGCCUGAGAGGGUGGACGGUCACACUGGGACUGAGACACGGCCCAGACUCCUACGGGAGGCAGCAGUGGGGAAUAGUGCACAAUGGGCGCAAGCCUGAUGCAGCGACGCCGCGUGAGGGAGGGAGGCCUUCGGGGUGUAAACCUCUUUCGCCAGUGAAGCAGGCCUGCUCCUUGUGGGUGGGUUGACGGUAGCUGGAUAAGAAGCGCCGGCUAACUACGUG
rnacentral:rRNA from 1 species